rnacentral:lncRNA from 8 species
UUAUAUGGAGGUGCGUAUGGGGUGGAGAGCGCUAUGUUUCGCAGAGGAGCGCACUAUCUCACCCAUACGCACGCACAGUCCGGUGCGCGUUAUUCCAGCCCCUCGCAGGUGCCGUGCUAGAGCGGGCAUCCAGCCUGGUAGGAGGAUGCCUGCGCAGCGCAUCUGGUCGCCGGUACGCCUCCGAGGACCAGGCUACCCAACUCCCGCUCUACGCACGGCUACCAUCAGGCCCCUGCACAGCCCAGUCUGCCCUGUACGGGCACCCCGCUCGUACAGGGCUACUAGUUCCAUCCAGCCAAGACGGGUUGUGCAGGAGGUAAGAUCGAGACCGACUGUGCGCCUCCAUAGCCCUGGGUUUCCAGCUCCUGUCUCUCGUGCGGACCCGGAAGUGCGUCAACCCAGUCCGACUCGUCCUGUUCCCGCUCCCCGCACUAGCCUGGAGGUGCGUGUACAUAAUCUGGUAAACCCAGUACCAGCACCACGCACCAGGCUACAAGUGCGUCAACCCAGCCUCGCCAGUCAACAGUCUUCAUCAGAGCUGCCCGCCAGUCAACAGUCUUCGUCAGAGCUGCCCGCCAGUCAACAGUCAUCGUCAGAGCUGCCCGCCAGUCAACAGUCGCCAGAGUGGCCAGACUGCGCCGAACUGCCGGAGUGGCCAGACUGCGCCGAACUGCCGGAGUGGCCAGACUGCGCCGAACUGCCGGAGUGGCCAGACUGCGCCGAACUGCCGGAGUGGCCAGACUGCCCCGAACUGCCGGAGUGGCCAGACUGCCCCGAACUGCCGGACUGCCCCGAAUUGCCAGACUGCCCAGACUGUCCCGAAUUGCCAGACUGCCCAGACUGUCCCGAAUUGCCAGACUGCCCAGACUGUCCCGAAUUGCCAGACUGCCCAGACUGUCCCGAAUUGCCAGACUGUCCCGAAUUGCCAGACUGCCCAGACUGUCCCGAAUUGCCAGACUGGCCCGACUGCCCCCCGGCGAUGCCAGACUGGCCCGACUGCCCCUCGGCGAUGCCAGAGUGGCCCGACAGCCUGGAACGGCCGGAACCAGAGCC